rnacentral:rRNA from 1 species
CAAUAGCGUAUAUUAAAGUUGUUGCAGUUAAAAAGCUCGUAGUUGGAUUUCUGGUUGAAGCGACCGGUCGGGCGUUGAUUCGUCUGCACUGGGGUCGGUUUUGGCCAUCCUCUAGGAAAGUGCGUCUGGUAUUAAGUUAUCGGGCGUAUGAUCCUGGUCUUUUACUGUGAAAAAAUUAGAGUGUUUAAAGCAGGCCUUCGCCUUGAAUACAUUAGCAUGGAAUAAUAAGAUAGGACUUUGGUCUAUUUUGUUGGUUUGCAGACCGAAGUAAUGAUUAAUAGGGAUAGUUGGGGGUAUUUAUAUUCCGAUGUCAGAGGUGAAAUUCUUAGAUUUUCGGAAGAUAAACUUAUGCGAAAGCAUUUACCAAGGAUGUUUUCAUUA